CUCACAGUGAGGCAUAUUUAGUCAAAGACAAAGUAGAAUGAUUCUGGAAGUCUUGUACUUGCUCUGAAUGAAAGGAAUCCCCUAUGUCCUGAAGUUACCUAGUUAGGGAAUUUGUGCUUCCACACCAAGUCUAGUGCAUUUCUAAUUGGUAGAGGGAGCUGGGCACCUGGUUUAGGGAAGAUAGAGGAAGGGCCUACUUGUUCACACAUUUACUGUAGGGGUGUUUACAGCUUACUGAAUGUCCUAUUUAGGGUUUUGAAACCACGUUAGGAAAGUCACGGGAAUAGCAACUUCUUAAAAUAGUGUAGAAAUAGGACUGAGCCAAACUUAGGCUAAAGAUGGGAAAAGUGAAUCUUAUUUUAACAUUUCGUGUGUGUACAUUGAACAAACACAUGCGUUUGUUUGCUGCUGUAGGCCUGAAGUGACUUUGGGUGUGAAGGAGAUUCCUGGAAAGAAGUCAGAACUUGAAGUUUCUGCAGGAGUGAUUAGCUGAUUAAAACUUCAGUGACUGGGGAGAAAUUAUAAUGUUGUGGACUGAUGAAUGAAUAAUCAUAUGCUGAAGGGAACAGGAAGUACUUGUGUUUAGAAAGAAAAAUAAUUGUAGCAAAUGCUAAAUAUUUCAAAGGAGUCUUAGUAUCUCUGAGAUAAUUGAGGCCUUUGAGAAAUACAAAAGAAGAGCUGAAGAGCAAAGAAACAAGCAGAAGAAAAGAGAACUCCCCAUUCCCCCAGUCAAAGAGUUACAACCCUGCAGGACCUUUUCACAGGAAAGCAGCAGCUCUCUCUCAAUUUGUCUUCAGAGGUAUGGGUGAUGUUUAUGUGCCGUGUCAUAGACUGUAGCUACUUCUUAUGUGUCUCCUGGUGACCAUGAUGUUUUCUCUCAUCUUCUUCAUCUCCACAAAAUCGAUCCUGCUAAUUCCGAUUUCCCUACAGUCAUCUGUACAAAUGGACUUUACCUUCUGGCCUUUUAUUCUUUCUCAGAACCAGACUUCCAAUAUCAAUAAGAGGUCUUACAAGAACAAAGUUACUCUACCCAGUUGAGUAAAGUUCCUCCUUUCUGAUUCUUUGUGAUCUUCAGCAGGCAUCUUGUUGUUAGUGUGCAAACCUCCACAGCGCAGCUGUAAGAGGAAGGUAACACUGCCAGCAUUCAAGUCUUUAUCUGGGUAAAUCCCUUGCUAACCUAUAAACGUUGGUAUGUAAUUAAACUGAUUUUGUAUCAAAUGUAUACACAAGUCAGAUUUGGUACAUAGGCUACAAAUAUUUUAACUUUUCUGGUUGAAGGUUACAAAUGGCUAUGUAAGUCCAGGAGAUGAAGAGAAAGAGAUAAGAUCUUUAAAUGUGGCUCCCUCUAAGAGACGGAAAGGGAAAAACUAUGUGAUUUAAUUGAUGUUCUUCCA
ensembl:lncRNA